UACGGAGGGUGCAAGCAUUAAUCGGAUUUAUUGGGCGUAAAGGGCGCGUAGGCGGCCUUGCAAGUCGGUUGGUGAAAGCCCGGGGCUCAACCCCGGAGGUGCGGCCGAGACUGCAGGGCUGGAGGCCGGAAGAGGAGGGUGGAAUACCCAGUGUAGAGGUGAAAUUCGUAGAUAUUGGGUGGAACACCGGUGGCGAAAGCGGCUCUCUGGUCCGGACCUGACGCUGAGGCGCGAAAGCGUGGGGAGCAAACAGG
rnacentral:rRNA from 1 species